UGCUGGUGUUAUGUUCGAGUUUUAUACCUCGCCGGCCAAGUGUUAGUGAAUUUGAUAAAGUAUAUGACUACGAGAUCCUACGCUAUGAUGAUAAAUUGAACUCGUAUUACACAUUAAGUGAUUCAGGUAUGUGAUAUAUAUAUUAUAUGUGAGAUUGAUCUGACGGGAAUUAAGAAUGUGUAAUGAGUAACAUAUGAAAAGAUGUUGUAAAUUCAUAUGUAUAUUUGUAUAUGUGUGUAUUCAGUUAUUAUGCAAAGUUACAAGAUAGUUUUCGAUAUGCCAUUUAACUAUGAAUUUUGAAAGUAAGUGUGGGUAAGAAAUGAUACAGUAGUGAAAUUUGAAAGAAUUAAAGUUAAUCCGGAAGCUUGUAAAUACUAUGUUUAUAUGAGUUUGAGUAUAAACGGAGUAAAAUGAUAUGUGUUGUGCAUAAUCAACCAAAUAGUAUUGUACUCGGAAAGUGUUAUGUGAUUUCGAACAUUUGGUUUGUUUUUAAGUUCAACUGUUUAAAUUGCUUAAGACUUACUAAGCUUAUGAAAGCUUACUUUGAAUGUUAUAUUUCUCUGUUUAUUUUUGUAGAUCAUUGACUCUUACUAUUAGCUCGGGGAUCGUCAGUACUUCGUCACGCUAUCUACUAUUGUAGUAAUCAUGUGAUUUGGACUUAGCUUAUGGCAUGUAUAGGAUAAACUAUAAGUAGAAUGAUAUUUUGACUAUUGUAUAUAAGCCAUGCGAAUAUGGCAU
rnacentral:lncRNA from 1 species